GAAACGUGUUAAAGAGGCCUUCUGUCCAACGUUGGUAAUGGCUUCAAUCCGUGGGAUAUAUUCUUCUUGCAUCAGCAACAACAGUUUCCAGAACUGAACGUGGUAGUGUUUCAUGAGAGCAUUGCCACACACCUCCAGAAAAUCAUACAGAAGUGUGGCUGUCACAACCACCAGAGGCUCCAUGUUCAGCAUCUGAGCAAGCCAGCACCACCC
rnacentral:lncRNA from 1 species